CUACGGGGUGCUGCAGUGAGGAAUUUUGCGCAAUGGGGGAAACCCUGACGCAGCAACGCCGCGUGAGCGAAGAAGGCCCUCGGGUCGUAAAGCUCUGUCAAGUGGGAAAAAAAUUUUUUGAUCAAUAGUCAAAAGACUUGAUGGUACCACUGGAGGAAGCACCGGCUAACUCCGUGCCAGCAGCCGCGGUAAUACGGAGGGUGCGAGCGUUGUUCGGAUUUACUGGGCGUAAAGAGCGUGUAGGCGGUUUAGCAAGUCAGAUGUGAAAGCCCUGGGCUCAACCCGGGAAGUGCAUUUGAAACUGCUUCACUAGAGUAUGGGAGAGGAGAUUGGAAUUCCUGGUGUAGAGGUGAAAUUCGUAGAUAUCAGGAGGAACACCCGUGGCGAAGGCGAUUCUCUGGACCAAUACUGACGCUGAGACGCGAAAGCGUGGGGAGCAAACAGGAUUAGAUACCCUGGUAGUC
rnacentral:rRNA from 1 species